rnacentral:rRNA from 1 species
AGGACCCGUCUUGAAACACGGACCAAGGAGUCUAACAUGUGCGCGAGUCAUUGGGACUUUGAAGCCUAAAGGCGCAAUGAAAGUGAAGGUCGUCCUUAGCGUCGACCGAGGGAGGAUGGCUCGCGUCACGAUGCGAGCCCGCACUCCCGGGGCGUCUCGUGCUCAUUGCGAGCAGAGGCGCACCCAGAGCGUACACGUUGGGACCCGAAAGAUGGUGAACUAUGCCUGGUCAGGACGAAGUCAGGGGAAACCCUGAUGGAGGUCCGUAGCGAUUCUGACGUGCAAAUCGAUCGUCGGAACUGGGUAUAGGGGCGAAAGACUAAUCGAACCAUCUAGUAGCUGGUUCCCUCCGAAGUUUCCCUCAGGAUAGCUGGCACUCGCUUGAGCGAGUCUCAUCUGGUAAAGCGAAUGAUUAGAGGCCUUGGGGCCGAAACGACCUCAACCUAUUCUCAAACUUUAAAUGGGUGAGAUCUCUGGCUUGCUUGAACGUUGAAGCCACGAGAUUUUUCAAAUGGAUCAGAGUGCCAAGUGGGCCAAUUUUGGUAAGCAGAACUGGCGCUGUGGG